UACAGGGGGUGCAAACGUUGCUCGGAAUCAUUGGGCGUAAAGCGCACGUAGGCGGUCUGUUAUGUCGGAUGUGAAAGCCCUUGGCUCAACUGAGGAAGUGCAUCCGAAACUGGCAGGCUAGAGUACGAAAGAGGAUCGCGGAAUUCCCGGUGUAGAGGUGAAAUUCGUAGAUAUCGGGAGGAACACCAGUGGCGAAGGCGGCCGCCUGGCCUGUAACUGACGCUGAGACGCGAAAGCGUGGGGAGCAAACAGG
rnacentral:rRNA from 1 species